rnacentral:rRNA from 1 species
CGUCUGGCGAAUGACUAGGCUUGAGCACCGAAGAAGGGCGCGGCAAGCGGCGAAACGCCCCGGGUAGCUGCACGCAAGCGUAGAUCCGGGGAUGCCCGAAUGAGACUUCUCGCUACGAGCUCCCAAGGGACCUCGUGGCGCUCCAAAAAGGAGCGGGAACCCCCUGAACGGAAACAUCUUAGUAAGGGGAGGAAAAGAAACCAAAACGGGAUUCCCCUAGUAGCGGCGAGCGAAAAGGGAAAAGUCCAAACUGAACUCCAUGCGGAAACGCAUGGCGAAUGUGGGGUUGCGGGUCCAGCCACCUUCUCACUAGCAAAGCUGAAGUAGCCUGAAACGGCUCGUCAAAGAGGGUGAAAGCCCCGUAAGCGCAAACUAGAAGAAGACGGGCUGGAAUCCCAGAGUACCGUACCCUGGUAUGGGUGCGAGAAACUGGAAGUCACCAACUUCCAAGACUAAACACGUCUCAAGACCGAUAGCGCACUAGUACGGUGACGGAAAGCUGAAAAGCAUCCCGGAAGGGAGAUGAAAAGAGCCUGAAACCAGACGGUUACAGACGUGUGCAGCCCAGAAGGAUAGAUCCCUCCCAAAGGAACCUAUGGCAACAUACAAGUACGAGGGAGGAGGACCAGGGUUGCACGCUCCGUCUAGAAACACGGGCCGGGGAGAUCAUAGCUGUGGCAAGCCUAAGGGCAAACAAGCCCGCAAGCACAGGGAAACCAACAUGCGUACAACCAGUGUUUACACUGGCGAGGCGCGAGGUCUGAAAUGGCCCGAAGUCACAGCAGUGAAACUAGAAACCGGGCGAUCUAUCCCUGGGCAGGGCGAAGUCAGGCGAAAGCCUGGUGGAGGCUCGAAAGGGUGCUGACGUGCAAUUCGCUCCCUUGACCUGGGGAUAGGGGCUAAAGACCAAUCUAGCCCGGUGAUAGCUAGUUCCCUCCGAAGUGGGUCGCAGCCCAGCCCUGAGCGAGGCUGCCGACGGGGUAGAGCACUGAUUGAGAAGUAAGGGGUCGAAAGACCCCGCUUUUCUUUCAAACUCCGAAUCCGCCGGCGCUGUAGACCUCAGGAGACGGGUUCUAGGGGGUAAGCUCCUAGUCCGAGAGGGGAACAACCCAGACUGAGGUUAAGGUCCCAAAGUGCUGGCUAAGUGUUAAACUGAAAGGCGUCAUCAGCCUAAGACAGCGGGAAGGUAGGCUUAGAAGCAGCCACCCUUCAAAGAAAGCGUAACAGCUCACCCGCCGAGGCUGAUGGCCCUGAAAAUGGACGGGGCUAAGCCAGCCACCGAUACCCCAGGGUGCAGCUUAGCGCUGCAAUCCGGUAGGAGGGCGUCCCGACUGGGCAGAAGCUGGGCCGUGAGGUCCAGUGGACCGGAUCGGGAUUGCAUAUCCCGGUGGUAGUAACAGCAAAGAGGGGUGAGAAACCCCUCCGCCGAAAGGGCAAGGGUUCCCCAGCAAUGCGUCAUCAGCUGGGGGUAAGUCGGUCCUAAGACUAGACUCAACCGAUCUAGCCGAAAGGGAAACCGGUUAAAAUUCCUGUACCACAGAGGUACAUACGGCGACGCAAGUCCAAUACCUGACGCUUCGAGGUAGGUUGAGCAAGGCUGUCGCCUUGUUUAACCGUAUAAGCUUGGGGAGUGCCGUAAUGGCGAGAACCAAGCGAAAGCGGGAAUAGCCACCCGUUUUUAGGGUGGUUCAACUGAUCUUUGGAGCCAAUGAAAAGGGUGUUGGAAAGGAUCCUCUGUGACCGUACCCAGAACCGUCACAGGUGUCCCUAGGCGAGAAACCUAAGGCGUGUCGGGUGUACACCAAGCGAGGGAAUUCGGCAAAUUAGCCCCCUAACUUAGGGAUAAGGGGUGCCUGCGCUUUUGGCUUCGGCUGGAACCGCAGGUCGCAGUGUCAAGGGGGUCCCGACUGUUUAAUAAAAACACAGGAAGCCGCAAGCCCGAAAGGGUGUGAACGGCUUCUGAAUCCUGGCCAGUACAGGUACCUAAAACCUGGGUUCAACCGGGCUAAGGGCCUGCAAACGCCGGGAGUAACUCUGACUCUCUCAAGGUAGCCAAAUGCCUUGUCGGGUAAGUUCCGACGCGCAUGAAUGGAGCAACGAGGGCCCCACUGUCCCCGCUUGGUACCCGGUGAACCCACGUAAAGUGGACGAACAGUCCACUAACUUCCAGCGGGAAGAGAAGACCCCGUGGAGUUUUACUGCAGUCUGUCGCUGGGAUAUGGUUGUGGAUGCAGAGUGUAGGCGGGAGCUGUUAAUCUCAGUCUCUCCGGGGACUGAGGGAGGCGACAAUGGAACACCGCCCUUUUGCGACUGUGUCUCUCACCGGCGCUUCGGCGUUGGAACAACGGUAGAUGGGCAGUUUGGCUGGGGCGGCACCCCCUUGAAAAAAUAUCGAGGGGGCCCAAAGAUCGGCUCAGGCGGGACAGAAACCCGCCGCAGAGUGCAAAGGCAAAAGCUGGUCUGACUGAAUCCUCCAAGGCAAGGGAUUCAGAGGCGAAAGCCGGGCUUAGCGAACAUCCAAAUCCCUCUUGGUGAGGGUUGGAUAUGACAGAAAAAUUACCCCGGGGAUAACAGGCUCGUCGCGGGCGAGAGUUCACAUCGACCCCGCGGCUUGGUACCUCGAUGUCGGCUCUUCCUAUCCUGGUCCUGCAUAAGGGGCCAAGGGUGAGGCUGCUCGCCUAUUAAAAGGGAACGUGAGCUGGGUUUAGACCGUCGUGAGACAGGUCGGACUCUAUCUGCUGGGAGUGUUGGUCGCCUGAGGGGAAAGGGUCCUAAGUACGAGAGGAACGGGACGUUGUAGCCUCUAGUCUACCGGUUGUCCGACAGGGCAUUGCCGGGCAGCCACGCUGUCGCGGAUAAGGGCUGAAAGCAUCUAAGCCCGAAGCCGCUCCCGAAAAUAGGC